rnacentral:rRNA from 1 species
UACGUAGGGUGCGAGCGUUGUCCGGAAUUAUUGGGCGUAAAGAGCUUGUAGGCGGUCUGUCGCGUCUGCUGUGAAAAUCCGGGGCUCAACCCCGGACUUGCAGUGGGUACGGGCAGACUAGAGUGUGGUAGGGGAGACUGGAAUUCCUGGUGUAGCGGUGAAAUGCGCAGAUAUCAGGAGGAACACCGAUGGCGAAGGCAGCUCGCUGGGACGUGACUGACGCUGAGACGCGAAAGCGUGGGGAGCAAACAGG